CAAUAUUAGGUUCUCUUUGGGAAAGUUUUCCUCCUGCAUGAUGAAUUCAUAGCACUGCCGUAGCAUGUUUUCUGAGUAGUCCAGAGCAACAACAUGAGAAAACAAACCACUUUUGGCAAAAAGUCUGGAAAAUAAUCCACUACCACAACUAGCAUCAAUAAUAUUUCCACCUAAACCUGGCUGCAGGUAAUCCUUCAUCAAUUCAAACUCUUUCUCUGGGCCAGGGAAACCACCCCAUAUGAAAUUUUGACGCCAACCCCUCUCAUAGAGAAAUGAUAUCAGUGGAAGCCUGAAAAGUUCAGUAGCCAAUGGCAUAGAANAAUCGUCAUAUUUACUGGACCCACUAGCCACAGUCAAUUCAAGAUGUGUUUCCUUGCCAGAAUAAGUCUUCUUACAACAGCCACACUGCAAACUAGACCCAGCACAAUCUACAGACAAGACGCGAUCCCCCAUCCAAGACAAGGGCUCGAAGCAUACGGGACAAGCUAAAAUGUUCUUACUGAUACUGACCUCUUUUUCAACCACAACAGGAUCCAGCGGCUUGGUUUCGACGAAGGCAGUAGAUGAGGCACGAAUUUUUGACGCGAAGCUCGAGCUCCUUUGUUUGAUAAGCGGUGUAUAAUAGGCGUUGAAGAAGCAGCGCCUAGAAUUGGAGAAUUGAGUCGGAAGAAACACGGAGGCGAGAG
rnacentral:misc_RNA from 1 species